GCCAAAGCGGCGUUAAAUUAUCUCAUUUCAUAUAUUUUUAUGUCUUGGAGUACUAAGUGCUGGUAAAAAAAGGGAUUCGGUUAAGCUGCGUUUUUUACUAGAUCUCCGUCAUCUAUUCAAUUGCUUUUUUGACUGAGUUCUCGAUGUGGUUAUACACACCACUGUGAUUUGUUUUUGAAUUUUUUUUAAAGAGAUGGAGCAAGGCGUUUGGAGUUUUGUGAAGUAUGCGGAAGUUUUAAGAGUUGUCGAAGGCCUAUACUUGUGCAUCAAAUUGGAGAUAAGGCUAAAAUUCAAGAUCAAGAAGUAGGCAUCCCAGCUAUCUGAGAUUUGUGCAGAACAAAUGAAGAGAUGAUAAGAGUAAGAUAGUUCACAUGGCAACAAGUAGCAUUCCAGAUGGCACAUCAACACCUAAUUUGCAUGCAACAUAAAUGGUGGAAUAAAUCUUGGACAUCGAGGAGGCAAAACAUCAACUCAUGUUUUCACUACCAAUGAUUCUUACAAAAUUAUUAUACUACUCAAUCACUAUGGUUUCUUUAAUGAUUGUUGGUCACUUCGGUGAGGUUGAGUUAGCUGGUGCUACUCUUGUCUACUCAUGGUUUGGUGUCACUGCUGGCGCUGUUACGUUUUAAGAGUUGUCGAAGGCCUAGUGCAUCAAAUUGGAGAUAAGGCUAAAAUUCAAGAUCAAGAAGUCGCCAUCCCAGCUGUCUGAGACUAGUGCAUCAAAUUGGAGGGGAGCCUAAUUGAGCAGAAGAGAUUGCAAUUGGUUGUGUUGUUGUAUUUUCAUAUGGUGAUCUCUACUCUACUAUUAAUUCUUCGUGUUUCCUUGUAUAUAUUACACUCUUUUUUUCUUGAUUUCUUUGCGAGUUCCCUGAACGUGUCACACGGAAUAUGUACAAUGAAAACUUCUUAGAUAUUUAUGGAGGACAUUUUGCUUGAUGUUUCAUAGAAGAGAGACUAUAAAACUAUAAUCUGCAACAGAUGCAAGAACUUGGCAAAAAGGGGAGUCUAAUUGAGUCCAAAAGACUGCAGUUGGUUGUUGUACUUUAAUCUGAUGAUCUCUUCUAAGAUGAUUCAUGGGAGAGAGGCUAUGAAUGUAUAGUGGAAUUGGAACCUUUGCAUUUAAAUGGUCAUUUUUUCCUUGAAUAAGGAUUACAAGUACUAGGAGAGCUUCAGUUUUAAUGCUUAUGUAGUACAUCUGCACCUCUUUCUUGGCUAAAUUGAGACGUGUCUGCUUUUCUCAAAGUGUAGACUUCAAGAACUUCACACAAUCACACCACUCUUUAAUCUUCUCUUAAGGAUCCGUGAGAGUUUUACAUAAUCAAUUUGGUUACGCAGAAGACCCUCAUUCGUGACGCAGAUUCAGUCGUAGCCGCGCGAUGAAGCAUUUGUUGAAGUUUGUGCGUUGCGGUAGUUGAUAUGAACCGAAAGACUGAACCCACAAAGACGUAAAGGAAGUGUACUUUGUUAUCUAUAUUCAUUUUGUAUUUACGUGAUGCAGGUUCGUGUAUUCCAACGCCGUUGUGAUUUAUUUUCGUCGAUGGUAUCUAUUUGCAUUAUGGAUUAUGUUCCGCCUUCCAACUGGUUGAUGCUACCUUGUAUGCGAUUCUCUGGGUUUCUGUUUUUCUGCAUUGCUUGCUCAUUACGGAUUUGCUAUCCGUUUGGUAUAUUUCUUAACCCUUUUACUUUUCCGCACUAUCCAAUGCCAUGAGAAGUAGGGUAGACAUAUAUCAUUGAUGCCAUGAGAAGUAGCACCUAGACAUUCAUUGCAUAAGUCUGACUCUGUAGGCGAUGUUUGCUGAGAGUCCGUGCCAUGUGGGCAGGCAAUCUGAUUUAUUUGUUAUUUGUUGUGCUAAAGACCUCCAAAGAGGUGUCCCAUUCCCAAUACCCCUGAUAAGUCCUCAAGAGAAGGCAAGCGGAGAGGGUCCGCAAUCGACCCCCGCAUUUUUGUCCGUGUAAUUCAUUGGCUCGCGUUACGCGUUGACGCCUUUGAACCGAUUACUCCAUACGGUUGCUACAUUUCAUCUCCGUUAUCCUAUACGGACAUUGCAUUUUGUGUGCACCGCUAUCCCAUGCG